GAGAGGAGAGAUGAGAGAAACUGAGAGGGAGAAAAAGACGCGAUUUUAGCGAGUGUUUAAAACGAGAAUCUGCCCUGUAAUCAGGAGUACUGCUCGUAUUUCUGCACUAAGGAGGUGGCUCGUUAUUACAUCGGACGGUUACAUGAUGAAAAUGUCGGUGAGCAUCGACUAGCUUUAUGAGAAUCCGAUGCUCCAACAAUCAUCGCACCUGUUGUACACGGAGACAUUGCAACACAUGGGACUCAGGACCAUUUCAAGGUGAUGAAUGCGGACGUGUUUCAACGCAAACUAGCAACCAGAUUGAGGAGCUCCAGUUCGUGAGGACAUGAAAACAUGAGAUGUUGGUCUUUCACCUGGAUCAAAGAAUGUUCCAGUCCCAACUACACAACAUCAGACUUCUCUUCGAAUUUGUAUAGAUGGGUGUAAAAAUCUUGUUUCAACUUAACAAAAGAGUUUGUCAUGCCUUAAUUUUAAAUUGAGUCAACUUAAAAGGAAAAGUUGUUUAAACGGAACAUAACUCUUAAAAUGAGCUUAAUAUAUUUGUUUAAUCAACUUUAUCGUAGUUACAUUCAAAGUGAAUAUACAAAUUCAAUACUUAUAUUAUCUUUUAAUAUUAUUGAUAACCAUGUAAGUAGUUAGGCCUA